rnacentral:rRNA from 1 species
UACGUAGGUGGCGAGCGUUGUCCGGAAUUACUGGGCGUAAAGGGCGCGCAGGCGGUCUUUUAAGUCCGGGGUGAAAUCCUUCGGCUCAACUGGAGGGGGACCUUGGAUACUGGCAGGCUGGAGUGCGGGAGAGGGAAGCGGAAUUCCACGUGUAACGGUGAAAUGUAUAGAUAUGUGGAGGAACACCGGUGGCGAAGGCGGCUUCCUGGACCGUAACUGACGCUGAGGCGCGAAAGCUAGGGUAGCAAACGGG